rnacentral:rRNA from 1 species
GAUGAACGCUGGCGGCGUGCCUAAUACAUGCAAGUCGAGCGAACAGAUGAGGAGCUUGCUCCUCUGACGUUAGCGGCGGACGGGUGAGUAACACGUGGAUAACCUACCUAUAAGACUGGGAUAACUUCGGGAAACCGGAGCUAAUACCGGAUAAUAUAUUGAACCGCAUGGUUCAAUAGUGAAAGACGGUUUUGCUGUCACUUAUAGAUGGAUCCGCGCCGCAUUAGCUAGUUGGUAAGGUAACGGCUUACCAAGGCAACGAUGCGUAGCCGACCUGAGAGGGUGAUCGGACACACUGGAACUGAGACACGGUCCAGACUACUACGGGAGGCAGCAGUAGGGAAUCUUCCGCAAUGGGCGAAAGCAUGACGGAGCAACGCCGCGUGAGUGAUGAAGGUCUUCGGAUCGUAAAACUCUGUUAUUAGGGAAGAACAAAUGUGUAAGUAACUAUGCACGUCUUGACGGUACCUAAUCAGAAAGCAACGGCUAACUACGUG